CCUGUACCUCUUUCCCCCCCACAAACACAACUUGGCGGUGAUGCUGCCUGUUGUCCGUGGCUUGCACAGACAUCACUUCAUAUAGGACCCCCAACGGUUCCUCGGUUUGCAGACUUGCCAGCUCCGAGUGGUCAGGUUCCGUGUGGUAGAAAUGGGCCGCCGCCCUUGGGGCGGAGUUCUGCCGUACCUGGUUCCACGCCUGCCUACUCCGAUUCUGGGUGCACUCCC